UACGUAGGUGGUGAGCGUUGUCCGGAUUUACUGGGCGUAAAGGGCUUGUAGGCGGUCCGUUAAGUCCGAUGUGAAAUCUCCCGGCUCAACUGGGAGAGGUCAUUGGAUACUGGCGGACUAGAGGGGGGUAGAGGAAAGCAGAAUUCCUGGUGUAGCGGUGAAAUGCGUAGAUAUCAGGAGGAAUACCAGUGGCGAAGGCGGCUUUCUGGGCCUACCCUGACGCUGAGGAGCGAAAGCGUGGGGAGCGAACAGG
rnacentral:rRNA from 1 species